GACGAACGCUGGCGGCGUGCUUAACACAUGCAAGUCGAACGGAAAGGCCCUGCUUUUGUGGGGUGCUCGAGUGGCGAACGGGUGAGUAACACGUGAGUAACCUGCCCUUGACUUUGGGUUAACUUCAGGAAACUGGGGCUAAUACCGGAUAGGCGCUCCUGCUGCAUGGUGGGGUUGGUAAGUUUCGGCGGUUGGGGAUGGACUCGCGGCUUAUCAGCUUGUUGGUGGGGUAGUGGCUUACCAAGGCUUUGACGGGUAGCCGGCCUGAGAGGGUGACCGGCCACAUUGGGACUGGGAUACGGCCCGGACUCCUACUGGAGACAGCAGUGGGGAAGAUUGCACAAUGGGCGGAAGCCGGAUGCAGCAACGCCGCGUGCGGGAUGACGGCCUUCGGGUUGUAAACCGCUUUCGCCUGUGACGAAGCGUGAGUGACGGUAAUGGGUAAAGAAGCACCGGCUAACUACGUG
rnacentral:rRNA from 1 species